CGUGCAGCCGGGUCUGCAAGUCAGAUGUGAAAUCCAUGGGCUCAACCCAUGAACUGCAUUUGAAACUGCAGAUCUUGAGUGUCGGAGGGGCAAUCGGAAUUCCUAGUGUAGCGGUGAAAUGCGUAGAUAUUAGGAGGAACACCAGUGGCGAAGGCGGAUUGCUGGACGAUAACUGACGGUGAGGCGCGAAAGUGUGGGAGCAAACA
rnacentral:rRNA from 1 species